GAACCGUCCAAACGUUAUUCGGAAUCACUGGGCUUAAAGGGUGCGUAGGCGGCCCGGUAAGUUGGGUGUGAAAUCCCUCGGCUCAACCGAGGAACUGCGCCCAAUACUGCCGGACUUGAGGGAGACAGAGGUGAGCGGAACUUAGGGUGGAGCGGUGAAAUGCGUUGAUAUCCUAAGGAACACCUGUGGCGAAAGCGGCUCACUGGGUCUCUUCUGACGCUGAGGCACGAAAGCUAGGGUAGCGAACGGGAUUAGAUACCCCGGGUAGUCCUAGCUGUAAACGAUGAGCACUUGGUUGGAGGGACCCCCCAAAUCUUCCCGACCGUAGCGAAAGUGUUAAGUGCUCCGCCUGGGGAGUAUGGUCGCAAGGCUG
rnacentral:rRNA from 1 species